rnacentral:rRNA from 1 species
GGAGGGUGCAAGCGUUGUUCGGAAUUAUUGGGCGUAAAGAGCGUGUAGGCGGUCCGGUAAGUCAGAUGUGAAAGCCCUGGGCUCAACCCAGGAAGUGCAUUUGAAACUACCAGACUUGAGUACGGGAGAGGAGGGGGGAAUUCCCGGUGUAGAGGUGAAAUUCGUAGAUAUCGGGAGGAAUACCAGUGGCGAAGGCGCCCUCUGGACCGAUACUGACGCUGAGACGCGAAAGCGUGGGGAGCAAACAGGAUUAGAUACCCUGGUAGUCCACGCCGUAAACGAUGAGCACUAGGUGUAGCGGGUAUUGACCCCCCUGCUGUGCCCGUAGCUAACGCAUUAAGUGCUCCGCCUGGGGACUACGGUCGCAAGACUAA